UUAUCUGGCCAACUGACAUCUUUCAUUGCAGAACGCGGGAAAUGCUUCACGGGAUCGUGGAGUGUUGUUUGGCAUUCGAAUUUUCAACAGUAGUUGUUAAUAAUCAGGAAUAUGUCAAAGCCAUUUUCAUGGGGCAUUAAAAGCCCUAUCAAUUCGACAAAUUACAUAGGAAUGCGACCUGCAGAAGCUGAUAAAGUGUUUGAAAAACUUGUGCCUGUUCAACUGCAGCUAUCCCCAACAGAAGAGAGAAAACAUUUCUUAAGUCUUUCUGUAGAGUUGAUGUCUUCUGGAAUAUCUUCCACUUCAUUUCGCAAGCAGGAUUUACAAAUUGAAAUAACUGAUGAAGAUGAUCCAUACAUUUUCUAUGGUCUUCGGAUGUCAGAAGAAGACUUCUCUGUUUUAAAAUCUCAACAGGGUCUCCUAAUUGACUUUUCAUCCUUCCCUUCCAAGUUUAUUCAACUUGUUGAACGCUGCAUAUCAGAAUAUCAAACAGAAUCUCCCAAAUUUCUUAUUCUGAUUCGAUACCAGAAUGAAAUGCCCAAACCAUGUUUUGUUUUUGAGAUUGUUGAGACAAACCCAUUCAAGCAUUUAUGCCACCUUUCUCUCAAAUUAACUGAAGGAGGCGAAACACAAAUAAAGAAACAUUUGUCACUUAAGCUACGACAAUUAAAAGAGGAACAGGAGAACAAUGUUCAAGUUCUUAAAAGUUUGGAACAGCAAGUUGACAUUGAAAGAAAGAAUCAUGCACAGAAAACAGCGGAGCUAGAACUACUGAAAUGUGACUUUCAAGCAAAACUACAAGAUAUGCAACAACUACUUAAAAUUGAAUACCAAACAGAGAAGCAAUUGCUUCUCCAAACUAAAAUGGACCUCGAGCAGCAGUUUAGGCAACAUCAGAUGAAUGCUGAGGAAAAGGAGAAAAGCUUUUUACAACAAAUAAAAGAUUUAAAAGAAAAAAAUUCCCAAAUUGAAAACCAUGCCAAAGAGGCGACAUCUCGUUUGGUGAAAACUGAAGAAGAUUGCAAUCGUCUUCAGCAAGAAUUAUCGUCGGCCCGGCGUCGUGGAGCCAGUUUAGAUGCAGACUUUCACAGCAAGGAGAGAACAGUGAAUCAAUUACGGACAAAGAUAGCCGUGUUAGAACAAGAAUUGAAAGACAAGGACGUACUAUUAGCGAAGCAGCAGGACCUCUUGACUGCAGCGCAAGAGCAAAAGGGUCGUUUGACCAGCAUCGUUGAAGAAAAGGAUUCUGUUAUCUCUCGACGUGAAAGUGCUGUUAAAACUAUGACAGAAGAAUUGAUCAAGGCCAAUGACAUAAUAAGGAAAUUACAAAAUGACAUCCGAAUAUUGAAUCAAAAGUUGAAAACCCGCACAGAUGUUGCAAGGGAACAAGAAAAAGUAUUGCAACAUAGAGACGAUGAAAUCGCACGUUUGCGAGAUGAGUUAAAUGGACAUUCAAAGUUGCAGGAUGAAGUUGUUGAACUUCGAAGUAAAAACGAAGAAAAAGAAUCAGCUAUGAAAAACAACGAGCAGAUUAUAUCAUAUCUGAACAAACAACUCAACGAUCUCCAGCUCAGAUCCGAAACCACAGGCAGAAAUCCUCAAUGGUUUUCAACGCCAAACGAUGUUAAUGGCGUAGGACCCAAAAUUCCUAUGUCCUCACUAAGGUCCUCUCCACUGCAAUUGGGUCAAACGCUCGAGAAUAGAGAAAAUGACGAACCACUAGAUCCAAAAUACUUUCAGCCUAAAUCAUAUGGCGGACUUGUACGCAAAGAAAAGUCAGCCGAAAGAAAUCCGCCUAAUUCAAAACCAUCGGCAUAUUUCAAAAAAUGAUUAUUAUAAAGUCAAGCUUCCUAGAAAAACAUUGGCAUCUUCGGUUCGUUUGAAACAUAAAUGAGAAACAGCUGGUUGAUCAUUAAAUUGGCCUAACAUUUCACCUAGAGUAUAUAAAUUUCAAUUUCUUAAUUAAAGUACAUUUUAAUUAAUUUAUAUUUGUAUAUACUCGAACGUUUGACCUAGUAAGAAACUCCAAAGUAGUUUCGUAAAAAUAGAAUUGGAGCGCUGAUGAAAAAACUGCCUUGAGAAGGCUAGGGCUAAGACCUAAAGGGAUAGAAGAAAUACCUUUGAGCAAUGCAGCUAAUCCCUCAUUUCGGACGGUUGUUGCGAGGCAAUCUAACAGACUGUUGAGUUAUUAGAAAUAUAUAUACAUAUUUAUAUAUAUAUAUAAUUUAAACAGUAAACUGGAGAUGUUUCAUACCCCUUAUAUUGAUGCCUAUUACAGAAUCCUUGCAACUGCAUUCGUUUUUUUCCCAGGUCCAGCGGAUAAACAAGAGUCUUGGCAACUGCUCCUGCCACAGCUCCACAGGUUAGACUUUUAAGACCAGCACCUUUUCCAUCAAUGGCUUCUUCAUACAUUUCAAUCAAAAAUUUGUAAAUAGCAAAUUGGCAGCCUGUGUAUGGCCCAAUCUGGAUCAAGGUAGGUGACAAUCCAUGAUACAAAGAAAGGGCUCCUUCUUUUGCCCACAUUUUUGAUAUUACAUCAAUUACACCCUUGUAAAUCUGAAAAAAACAAAA